GAAAUGUAUUAUAUCCAUGGGAAAAGCUAAGCGAGUCAGGAACUCUGGGCUGAGGUGGGAAAAGAGAGAGGAAAAGUCCAAGAUCAAGUGUGGAAAAAGUCUAAAACAUAUUGAAUGCAAAGAGGGAUAGGAUAUUUAAGGUUUCCUUUGAGCAGAUAUGUAGCCCCAAAUUAAAAGUAAGCCUCCAUUAUGUUUCAAGGCAUUUCAUCACAGCGCUGCAUCUCCCGAGCCUGUAACAUUAUCAAUGACCCCUCCCACCCACACCAAGAACUGUUCUCCAUGCUGACAUCUGGGAAGAGGCUUCGCAGCAUUUGAUACAGGACCUGCAGAUUCUGCAACAGUUUCUUCCCCACCACGUCAGACAGCUGAAUGUUGAAAAAACUCUUAAUCAUGUCACAGACAUGUCAUCAAACUGACACCAAUCCAAAACCUGCAAAAUAAAUACCAUAUAUAUUUAAUUUUCUCCCA